rnacentral:rRNA from 1 species
AUUGAACGCUGGCGGCAGGCCUAACACAUGCAAGUCGAGCGGAAACGAAGAGGAGCUUGCUCCUUUGGCGUCGAGCGGCGGACGGGUGAGUAAUGCUUGGGAAUGUGCCUUAUGGUGGGGGACAACAGUUGGAAACGACUGCUAAUACCGCAUAAUGUCUUCGGACCAAAGUGGGGGACCUUCGGGCCUCACGCCAUAAGAUCAGCCCAAGUGGGAUUAGCUAGUUGGUAAGGUAAUGGCUUACCAAGGCGACGAUCCCUAGCUGGUUUGAGAGGAUGAUCAGCCACACUGGGACUGAGACACGGCCCAG